UGUUAAGGAGAGAAGUGGCUGCUUGGAGGAGAGCAACUUGGCUGGGCUCACAGCUGAGAAACCUCAGGAGUUCGCAUACCCCUAUAAGGAUCUGAAAAUUCCUACGAUCAUAUGUAUUCUUCUACCACUACUGAACAAGAGCUGUCAAGAGAAG